CUUUGAUCCUGGCUCAGGAUGAACGCUAGCUACAGGCUUAACACAUGCAAGUCGAGGGGAAACGAUAGAGAAAGCUUGCUUUUUCUAGGCGUCGACCGGCGCACGGGUGAGUAACGCGUAUCCAACCUGCCCAUCACUUGGGGAUAACCUUGCGAAAGUAAGACUAAUACCCAAUGACGUCCAUAGAAGACAUCUGAAGUGGAUUAAAGAUUUAUCGGUGAUGGAUGGGGAUGCGUCUGAUUAGCUUGUUGGCGGGGUAACGGCCCACCAAGGCGACGAUCAGUAGGGGUUCUGAGAGGAAGGUCCCCCACAUUGGAACUGAGACACGGUCCAAACUCCUACGGGAGGCAGCAGUGAGGAAUAUUGGUCAAUGGGCGAGAGCCUGAACCAGCCAAGUAGCGUGCAGGAUGACGGCCCUAUGGGUUGUAAACUGCUUUUAUAAGGGAAUAAAGUGAGUCUCGUGAGACUUUUUGCAUGUACCUUAUGAAUAAGGACCGGCUAAUUCCGUGCCAGCAGCCGCGGUAAUACGGAAGGUCCGGGCGUUAUCCGGAUUUAUUGGGUUUAAAGGGAGCGUAGGCCGGAGAUUAAGCGUGUUGUGAAAUGUAGACGCUCAACGUCUGCACUGCAGCGCGAACUGGUUUCCUUGAGUACGCACAAAGUGGGCGGAAUUCGUGGUGUAGCGGUGAAAUGCUUAGAUAUCACGAAGAACUCCGAUUGCGAAGGCAGCUCACUGGAGCGCAACUGACGCUGAAGCUCGAAAGUGCGGGUAUCGAACAGGAUUAGAUACCCUGGUAGUCCGCACGGUAAACGAUGGAUGCCCGCUGUUGGUCUGAAUAGGUCAGCGGCCAAGCGAAAGCAUUAAGCAUCCCACCUGGGGAGUACGCCGGCAACGGUGCAACUCAAAUGAAUUGACGG
rnacentral:rRNA from 1 species